UUGACUUUUUAUAUGCUAUCUAUCUUUUUGCGAAAACCUAUUAUGUGGCACCCGAUUAACUUUCGUUUCAUCCACACAAUAAUGUAAAUAAGGCAUCUCCAUAUUGUAUUUACAAUGGGAAACCGUUAGAUUUCCAGCACAAGGUGUUCUAUUUUAUGCCAUUUCAUAUUUUCAAUUUUAUUUAUUAUAAUAUUUGAUUGUCUGGUUUGGAUAUUUAUUUUAGUCAAUAGUAAUGCCUUGAAUUAGAAGGUAGUACAUGAUAUUGUAUUUGCCUAUCUAGUUUCCAAACACUCGAAUAAAUUAAAGGAGGAUUUUGAUGAAUUUGGAGUGGUUGUUAGUUGUUACCUAAUUAAUAAUUAUGAAAACUCAUUGUGUGUAUUCUGACUAUUAUUGAACUACUUUGAGGGUAUCAUGAUUUGGUGACGAUUUGGUAAUAAAAAAUAGAUACAGAUGGCAAACAAUAGUUAGUAGCCUCUUUCUCUAUUUAAAUAAUUAAAUGAAUGAGAACGGUUGAGCAGCACGGCACAGCAAAGCUGUGACAGGAGUCAUUUUCAUAUUAAAAAAAAAAAAAUUAAUGGACUUAUCUUGAUAUAUUGGAGCUAUUUUAUUAUUGUUGUUUGUAAUUCUGCUUUGUUAUUGUUGACCAACUCUCGUCAGACCAUCAGCUGAUAACUUUCCAGCUUGUUGUGCACUACUGCAUAAUCUGCAUUUUGAUUCCUUAAUGUUGUAAUUGGUUUUGUUUAAUUUUAGUCAUAUAUUCUCACGCGUUUAUAGCAUCGGAACAUACCAGCCUAAGCAAACUGCACCAUAAAUACAUACCAUCAUAUAUUAUUCAUAUCGAUCCAUUAUCAUCUUCUUCUUCUUCUUCUCGACAAUAAACUCCAUUUUCAAUUCUUCAUCCGAAUAUGAGUUACUACGACCAAAAUCAACAAGGUGCUCCCGGUAAGUAUGUCAAAUUAAAUGAAUCUGGUAUACAUAGUACUUGUUUGCCUCAUCGAUUUCUAAAUAUAUUCGUACAAAAAAAACAGGUUACCCUGCUCCCGGACAGCCUUACCCUCCUCAAUCAUAUCCACCGCCGGCAGGACAACCUUACUCCGGGGCUCCUCCGAUGGAUUACCCUCCUCAGCAGGGAGGCCCUGCAGAUAGCAAAGACAAAGGCAGUGAUGGAUUCUUGAAAGGAUGGUACGUGAGAUGAAUUUUAACUAAUUACAUGUUCUGCCGCUUAAUUAUUAUUUGUAAUUAUUUUGCAGCUGUGCUGCCUUGUGUUGCUGCUGCCUGUUGGAUGCUUGUUUCUGAAUAUGGUGGGUGACUCGGAAGUCUGACCCAAUUUAUGGCUCGUAACCCAGAAGAGAAGAAAACAAGUAGUUAUCACUUAACUGUGUUUUUUUAUCAUCGAACAGUGUUUUAGACUUUUGGUGUUAUUUACAUAAAUGCCUUGUAUAUUGAAUCAACUAGGUUUGAAAUAAAGCCCAUCUUUGCAGCCCAUAGUCUCGUUUAAUGGACUUGCAUAUUUUAUUAGAGAAGUAGAGUAACAGAGUCAUAUAAUAUAUUAUCGGAUAAAUUUAAAUAAAAAUAUAUAAAUUAAGAUUCGAACCUUCAACCUUAGAAAUGUACAAAUCUUACUUUGUACAGCGUAACACUCACAUACAACUACAUAAGAUUAUCUUUUUUUAUAAAGGAAGAUUAAUUUAAUUGGUUAUAUUAACUCAAAAUUUGAAUCUCGUUGUAUAUGAAUUAUAUGACUAUGAUAUAUCAUCCGAAAAUUAUUUUCUAUCUCCGUCUUAAACACUACAUUUUUGUUUGACUAUGUAUUUAAAUGUCUAAUGUAUAGCGUCAAUCAAUAAGUGGACUGUGGUCCAAACUAGACGCUGUUUAAAUUGAUUGCAAAUUUAUAUUUGAUAUCUCAUUUUGAGUAUCGUACCGAAAGCGUUCUCAUAGUCUGACGUCGGUUACCCUGUCUGUCUAUGUAUUGUGGUCCACACUAGAUGCCGUUUAGAUUGAUUGCAAUUCUAUAUUAUUUGCAUAAUUAUUUGUUUUCAAAAUGAAAUAUAUUAUUUCGACCGCAUAUUUUUUUCGAGAUAUGAUAUUAGUCAUAGAUUCAUGAGAUAUAUGGUUCACAAAAAAAAUCUGAUAAUGGUUGUAAACCACGUGAUGUUUUACGAAUGAUGGAUUUACUCACCUAUCAAUAUCUCAUGAGAUAUCUUAUUUUGAAUAUUUGUCAUAGUUAUUUUGACAUUUAAAUCUAAUAUUAGUAUGUGGACCGUGGUCCAAACUAGCUAGAUGCCGUUUAGAUUGAUUGCAAUUGUAUAUUAUUUGCAUAAUUACCUGUUCCCAAUAAAUUUGAAUGGAUCGAUUACAGAAAUCAACGUGACUAGCUAGUUGGAAACCAAACAGAAAUCCAACAACUGCAUGAAUGCAAGGUCCCAAAACACUGAACUUGCUACAGUGCAAAUUGGGAGGCGGCAACUUUUACAAUUCACCAACCAUGUGCACUCUACAACUCAGACGGAUUACCUGUUCGAUCGCGCUGUCUUCGCCCAAUUAAAUAAGAUUCCAAGAUUAAUGAAUUAACUAAUUAAGUUUUAUAACUAAUGACAGUAAUUAUAUAUCACAUUGAUCGAUCUUUUACUUAAUAUAAAUUCAGCAAGACCAAAUUGUGGCAGGAAGAGUAAAUAUAUGGAAAAUAUUAAAAUAGUAGAUCGUGGAGUACGUCGUGGCCUGGCCUGUGGGGUUGAAACAGCCAUAACGGGGACCAAAUAACACCAUUGCAACGACUCAACGAGAGGAUUUUAAUUUUAGGUAUCCCGUCUCUCUCUCCUUCUCUCUCUCUAUAUAUAUAUACACACAGGCUCAGGCAUGUCAUCGAUCUCGAUCUGCACUCCUUUACUUUCUGUCCUAACAACUGACAAAAAACAACCACGACGCGAGAGAUCGAUCGUCGUCAAUUCGUCAUCCGAUCCGAGGGAAUGUAAUCCAUCCGACCAUCGAUCUCUGCUAUCUCGCCGCCGGUCGAUUUGAUUUUGUUGGUGUGAGAGGUUGAAGCUGCCAGCAUGAUCUGCUAUUUCAAUCCGCUCGAUGAUUUUUAUACAUAUCUCGUCGAGUUUCUGAAUCUGCAGCUAGCUAACUAUUAUAGCUAGGGUAGGCUAGCUAGACUUAAUUAAUGAAAUAGAAUUAUUCGAUCCGUGUGCUUAGGGUUUCAUUUGUACUGUCGAGAUUUGGUUUUUGGGAACUGUGAUUGCAUGAUUAUUCAUUCUUUUUUUCCACUCAUUCGAUUUGUAUUAGGGCUAGCUACAACUUUGUUCAAUUCGAUCUGCAUAUAUUGGGGUAGAUUAUUUCGGUAUUCCGCAUUUUUGCAUAGCAUGCAUAUAUCAGAUCAUCUGACAGUUUCAAUCACUCAUCCACCAACAACACAACAAACAAUCAUCAUCGCAGCUGCCGAACUGGUACCUAGUUUUCAUGGAUACAACAACGAUCGAAAAAACAACUGGUAAUUAAUCAUUUAAUUAAAUUUCUUUCUUUUUCCAAUUAAUGUCGAUUAAUAUUGUGUUUAUUUUGUGAAUUUUUUUAUGCAGUGAUAUCUUGAUCAUUGCAUGAUUUUUAAAAUCAGCUAAAAUUUCUUCUCGAUAUAUAUAUGUAGCUCUCCUCCUCCUAUACUAGUUAGCUAGCUGGCCGAAUUAAUUUUAUAUUUAUUAAUGUAGGUAGCUUAAUUAAUUAAGUAAUGUUAAUUUUGGAUUUUGUCUUAUAGUCAAUUAAUUAAUGUAAUAAUUAAAUCUGAACAGGAAUCCAUUCCCGAUAUAUUCUCUCAAAUCUGAAUGAACAGAAUAGGAAAUGGAGAUAGAUCAACCACUUUCAAAAUUCAAAUGCUGUAAUUAAAAAAAAAACAAUUAUCUAUCAUCAAGCAAGUUGAUUUGAUUGAUGAGAAAAACUAGAAAAUCUAUUUUGUACGUACUCUCGGUCGAGAUUGGAAUUAAUAAUUGGAACUUAGAGAAUUUCCAUUGGCGUGAAUUGAGAAAAUUUCAUUUCAGUUGGGUUUGUUGUUAUGUAUAAUUAUUUUCGUCCAUUAAUCCACUUUAAAUCAGUCAUAAAAUAACGAAUGUACGUGGUACCUAAUUAGAUUUAUUUUAUUAUUAAUUUUGAGCGAAAAACAUGUUCUAGAAUUAGAUCGAGUCCUAGAGGAGAUCGCGGGUUAAUUAAUGUUCAAAUGAUCAUGCACCGGGAGAACGUUCAAGGUCCACGUAGCAACUACACAUUGGUCCAAUCAUAGAAUAAUCGAGCACUUGUCCAGAUCAAUGAUCGGACACCGACCGACUCACCGACCUUAUGCAUAUGCAUGUGACAGUUACACAGUAUUACACCAGAGGUCAAGGGCUCAUGCAAGGUAUAGCAUAUAAUCACAUGCGUGGUUAUCUUAAUCGCUUAAUUAUUUUUUUUAAGCAGCAUCUACAGGAAGUAUACUUAAACUAAUAAGAAAAUAACAGAUUACGUUGGGAAAUGUGUCUGUAUCACAAUUGCAUUAUUAUUUCAAGAUACGGCCCGCCCCAAAGGCCCAAAAUCCCGAUGUAUAAGUCAGAACUUAAAUAUAAGUCUAUAACAGGGCUUUAACAUAUAUUUGGAUACUUUUGGAAAUUAUCCGGAUAUCGGAUUAUUCGGAUCCGCCUCGUCUAAUUACUCGAUAAAUGACUUUUAUUUAUAAAUGAGGAGAAAAAGAGACAAAAGUAUAAAAUCCUCUAUCCCUUUUCAAGAUCUUCCACAUUUCGACAACAAACUUCCAAGUUCUAACCAUCUUCGAUCACCAUUCUCGAUGUCUUCUGAUUCUUCCCUGAUCUUUCAUUCCUUUCUCCGGUAACAGUUCGACAACAUACCUUGCUACGGUGUUGAGAAUAGGAUUGCUACAGUAACAGUUCGACAACAUUCCCUUUCUCAGGUAUGCUGAUCUAGAAUGUAAUGAAUGAGAAUAGGAUUGAGAAAGAUUUCGAGUGUGACGAUCGAUAUUGAUCGACAAUGAACGAAUUGCUUGUUUUUUUAUCGAACAUGUCAUCUAAAUUUAACACUAGAACUUAAUGUCAGUUUUUGGAGGGUUUAUUCAGUCUAUUUUAGGAUUAUGCCGUUGGUCUAUCUUGGGUACCAACCACCAAGAUUAUAGAUUGUCUUCUACCCAUUUCCUUGUUGUAAUUGUGUCUUCCAACUCUAUUACUGAUAUAUUAAAAAACACAAAAAUAUUGUGACUCGAUAGGCUAUAUUCCUAUUAAUAGUGUAGUGUGAAACACAACUAAAAUAGUUGUGAUAACAAAAACAAGAAUAAAUCCCAAGACCUUGAGAUUUAAGGUUGUCUCCGAUCUCAGAUCGGAAUAACGAUCUAGAUACCGAGACUAAAUGCUUUAGAAAAUUUAGUGAGGUUUAUGACCUGACGGAAACGGAUGUCUCCGAUCAACAGAUCGGAGUACGAUCUUUGAUUCCAGAGACGAGAGCGUUCUUUGAUUCCAGAGACGAGAGCGUUCUUUGAUUUCAGAAGUUCCAGAAAAUUAUCACAGAAGUUCCGUCGAUGGCUGAUCGGUAAGACCAAGAGUCAUGGAUAAUAGUUCCCUCUGAUUUCAGUAGGGGAAAACGUUUGGAUUUUUUAUUUCAUAUAAAAAAGUUACAUGUGGUGCCCUUAUAUAGGGAUCUACAUGUGUGUGCUGAAUUUAAAAAAAGUAAAACAAUUAUAAAUAAAAAUUGCAAUUUACCACAUAAUACUAUUAUCAAAUCUGGAUAGACGGGUCUCUCUGAUAGGUCGUCUUUCCCUUACUUCUUCCUCGCCGUCUUCCUCCUCGCUAAGACCUUUAGCUGCUGGACCUUUAGUUGUUUCUUCCUGGAUUUCCAGUUCCUCUUCAGACGAUGACUCUAUCGAGCUUACAAUAGCUUCCUGAUUCUUCAAGGCUUGAUUGAAGGAUUCUUCGAUAGUAUUGGAAUCGAAUUGAAGUGCUUCAUGACUCACUCCCUCAGAUAGAACCUUGUCCUCAAGGUUGAGGCUCGGACAAAGCUUCUGGAGUGAAGAUAUAUCCUCCCAUGUAGUAUCUUCAGGUAAGGAGUCUGACCAUUUGACUAAUAAUUGUGGAAUCUCCUUGUUCUUCCUGAAAAUGACCCUGUAUUCUAUAAUUGCAAUGGGAAAUAAAAUUGGUUUGUUUAAUAUAGAACAUUUAGGGAAUUUGGGAACUUCCUUCUCUGGGUCAUCUCCUUUGUAUAACUUGAGCUUGGAGAUGUGGAAAGUAGGGUGAAUCUUUCCUCCCUCAGGUAGUUGUAAUUUAUAAGCCACCGCAUUUAUCUUCUUGAUGAUUUUAAAUGGCCCAAAAUACCUCAUACCCAACUUUUGGUUAACUUUAAGAGAUACUGAUUUUUGUCUGUAUGGUUGUAGUCUGACAAAAACCCAAUCAUUCAAGUUCAAUUCAAUAUCCUCUCUUUUCUUAUCUGCCUUGUUCUUCAUUCUUGUCUGUGCAGCCAUUAAGUUCUUCUUCACACUUUCUAGCAAAGUUUCCCUUUCACACAGAUCCACUUCAACUGCGGAUACCGAAGCCUCCGAUGGAUUGAAAUGUGGGAUUAUAGGUGCUUCCCUUCCAUAGAGCACUUUAAAAGGAGACAUUCCUAUAGAUGAAUGAUAUGCAGAAUUGUAUCAUAAUUCUGCCCAGGGCAGCAUUUUCAGCCAAUUUUUAGGGUUGUCAUGUACAGAUGCUCUGAGGUACAUUUCUAUAACCUUGUUUACAAUUUCAGUUUGACCAUCACUCUGUGGAUGGUAUGCAGAUGAGAAACACAGUGUUGUACCACUCAGUCUAUGAAUUUCCUUCCAGAAUUUAGAUGUAAAUAUCUUAUCUCUAUCUGAGACAAUAGUAGAAGGGAAUCCAUGCAGUUUUAUAAUAGUUUGAACAAACAACUCAGCCACCAUGGUUGCUGUGAAAUCAGUAGGUAGAGCCCCCAAAUGACAGAAUUUAGAAAAUCUGUCCACCACUACCAUAAUGACAGUUUUUCCUUUAACUUUGGGCAAAUGAGUGAUGAAAUCCAUAGAGAUAUCCUGCCAUACAUGAUGAGGAAUGGGUAGUGGCAUAAGAAGACCAUUAGGUUUGGUAUUGGUGGAUUUAGUUUGUUGACAUACCAUACAGUUUUCCACAAACUGCUGGACUGUUUUGCUCAUUUUUUUCCACCAAAAAAUAUUUUUAAUUCUUUUUAGUGUCCUUUCAACACCAGCAUGACCCCCUAAAUUGGAAGAGUGAAAUUCUUCUAAUAUUUUCUGAAUUGUUUCUGAAUCAGAAAAUAUAGAUGUCUUCCCUUUAUAAAAUAUAUGCCCCUCUUUUUCUGAAUAUUUUGUUUCUUUGGAGCUCUGACAUCUCUUAAGAAGUUCUGGUGUUCUAGGAUCAAUUUCCAUUUCCCACUUAAUUUUUUUGAACAAUUCACUUAUUACCGUAGUGAUUGCCAUAAUAGAGCCCAAUUCAGGGUUUUCAUCAAUUUUCUCCACCUCUAUAUCAUUUUCUUUUUCACUGAGAGAUCUGGAAAGAGCAUCAGCAACUAUAUUAUCUCUGCCUGGUUUGUAUUCUAUAGAGAAUUGAAAACCUAACAAUUUAAAUAGAAAUUCUUGCUGUUCAGGUGUCUGAAUCACUUGUGUCAGUAGAUUUUUCAGUGUUCUAUGAUCAGUCCUGAUUAUAAAAUCAUUUCCCAAGAGGUAGUGCCUCCAUUUGGCAACUGCUUGUGUGAUAGCGAACAUUUCCUUUGCAUAAAUUGAUCCAGCUGCCCUUCUCCCUGUUAACUUGCAACUAUAGAAAGCAAUGGGAUGAUCUUCCUGUUGUAAAACUGCCCCAAUACCAAUUAAACAUGUACUAUAAAAACUUUUGCAAAGUCAGGAAAUCUUAAGACUGGUGUAGUAGUCAUGGCCUUCUUGAGUUUAUUAAAGCUAUCGGUUGCAAGGUCAGUCCAAUUAAAGGCAUCCUUUUUUAAUAAUUCAGUCAUAGGGAAAGCCAUUUGAGCGUAGUUUUUUACAAAUCUCCUAUAAUAACCGGUCAGUCCCAAAAAUCCCCUUAGUUGUUUGAUAGUUUGGGGAAUGGGUCAUUCAGUCAUUGCACAGAUUUUCUGUGGAUCAGGUUUCAUACCAUUUCCAGAGAUUAUGUGGCCCAAGAAGUUCAUAUUACUCUUUCCGAAGGAACAUUUAGACAUCUUAGCUAGGAGUUGGUUGGAUUUAAGAAUUUCAAAGACACUUUUUAGGUGGCUAAUAUGGUCAGGAAGGGAUUUACUAUAGAUCAAUAUAUCAUCAAAAAAAAUUAUGACAUAUUUUCUAAGGAUGGAAGAGAAAACAUCAUUCAUUAUGGAUUGAAAAGUAGACGGAGCAUUGGUAAGGCCAAAUGGCAUUACUAAAAAUUCAAAAUGACCAUGAUGUGUUCGAAAGGCUGUUUUGUAAAUAUCUUUUGGACUUACUCUAAUUUGGUGGAAACCUGACCUAAGGUCUAAUUUGGAGAAAAUAGAGGCUCCAUUCAAUUCCCCUAAUAGUUCAUCCACUGUAGGGAUGGGGAAUUUAUCCUUAAUGGUCAAGGCAUUAAGGGCUCUAUAGUCGACGCAUAGUCUAUACCCCCCAUCUUUUUUUUUAAUAAGUAGUGCUGGUGAUGAGAAGGAACUAAUACUGGGUCGAAUGGUGCCCUGAUCCAGCAUUUCUUUCACCAGUUUUUCUAUUUCUCCUUUUUGAAAUUGGGGUUGUCUAUAGGGCCUUACACAAACUGGUUUAGAAUUUGGUUCUAAGCAUAUGUUGUGGUCACGUUUCCUUUGAGGGGGUAAUCCUUUAGGAUCCUCAAAUAUUUCACAAUAUGAAUCAAUAACAUAUUGAAUUUCGGAACAAUAUACCUCAGAGUUUGGCUGAUCAUCUUCCACAGUCCUCAUCAUACAAAUGAAUGCUUCAGAAGUAUUUGCAAGCAUAUUCUUUAUUUCACCAGAUGUAAGAGGAUCAUUAUUCAACCAAGACUUCCCUUUCCAGCAAAUAUCUUGUCCCUUCCAUUUAAACUCCAUAGUGAGUUCAUUGUAGUCUGUAAUAAUUUUUCCCACAGAUUUCAUCCAUUGUACACCCAAAACUAUAUUAGAACCAGCAAAAUCUAACAAAAAUAUGGGAAAACUAUAGUUCCCUCUGAUUUCAGUAGGGGAAAACGUUUGGAUUUUUUAUUUCAUAUAAAAAAGUUACAUGUGGUGCCCUUAUAUAGGGAUCUACAUGUGUGUGCUGAAUUUAAAAAAAGUAAAACAAUUAUAAAUAAAAAUUGCAAUUUACCACAUAAUACUAUUAUCAAACCUGGAUGGCAGACGGGUCUCUCUGAUAGGUCGUCUUUCCCUUACUUCUUCCUCGCCGUCUUCCUCCUCGCUAAGACCUUUAGUUGCUGGUCCUUUAGUUGUUUCUUCCUGGAUUUCCAGUUCCUCUUCAGACGAUGACUCUAUCGAGCUUACAAUAGCUUCCUGAUUCUUCAAGGCUUGAUUGAAGGAUUCUUCGAUAGUAUUGGAAUCGAAUUGAAGUGCUUCAUAGUGGUGGUCCAGACGACCAGAAAAUCCUCUACAUUGCUUAUUGCUUUCAGAAAAUCCCAUUUACGAACUCUUCAUUUGACAGACGACAUAAGAUAAUGAUUUUGUUCAUUAAAUUUUUCAUUUUAUAUUCAUUAAGUAUUCAAUUUGAUAAAUCAAACUUGUUCAAUGUUGAGGUUUAAGUCACUUGGGAGAUAUAAGGAGUGUGGAGACUGUUUUGGUUUAAUUGGUACCCGUUAAUGGGCCAAUUAAGGAGUCAUUAUCUUGGACCGGCCCAAGAUAACACUAUAUAUAUAUCUCAAUGUAGAGACUCAAAACCUAUCUUGCAUUGUCUAUAACUCUAUAUAUACUGUAAGAUCACCAACAUGUUCAUUAUCAAAUACAAGUAAUUGUGAAGAGUCUAAUUUGACCAUAUCUCUAUCUCUCCAACAUUCCCCUCCUUACUCUAGAACAUGCUAUUAGAUUCCAGCAUCAUUCCUCCGAGAGUUGAUGCUGCGAACACCGCAACUUCGACUGGGACCAUCGUUUCAGCAAGUCCCAUCACCCCUGCCCUACCCACGACCUUCAACAUUGGGAACCUCUUCCGCAUCAAGUCCCUUCGGGAUACUCUAUGUACCAUCCGAAAGAAACCAGAUGAGUAAGUGUCCAAAACUCAGAAUACCUAAUGAACAUUCGUGCACGACUGAAGCUCUCCUUGCUGCUGGCUCUUCCAUCAGUGAUGAAGACAUCAUCGGUUACACACUUACACUACUGAUGGCCUCGAAGAAGCCUCAAUUUUCCAUUAUAAUAGACUUUAACUUCAUAAAAAAAACCUCGAUCUUUAAAUCUUUUCAAUCCUAUGGUGAAUUUUAUGAGGUAAUUUUUUUGUAUGAUCGUAAUCAUUUAUUUUACCUCAUUGAUUAUUUUACAUUAAAUUUGAAUAUUUGAUCAUCUUUAAUUAUCCACGAUUUUUAAAUCUUUUCAAUUCUAUGGUGAAUUUUAGGAGGUAAUUUUUUUGUAUGAUUGUAAUCGUUUAUUUUACCUAAUUGAUUAUUUUACAUUGAAUUUUAAUAUUUGAUCGUCUCUAAUUAUUGUUGUUAUUGAAUAUGCUUAGGUUUUAUCGUGAGAAAUACAUUAUAAUUUUUUAUCCUAUUUGAGUAACUUUGUAAGUUUGCAUGUUGUAUUUAGAUUUUCUGAUAUUUUGUGGGAUCAAAAACUGUUUGAAAUGACAAAAAUAUGAUGGAUUUUUAAUCAAUCCAUCAUUUGGCGUAACAGUGGUAGAUUGUUUAUUCCUUCUGGAUUGCAACUUACAAGUAGCGAAAAAAGAGCCUGAAACCCAAAUAUAUGAAUCUAUUGUAGUGAUUUGCUUUUGAUUCUUUCUUUUCAGAUGUUUAAAUUGUGUAAUACACAAGUUCUGUAUAAUAGAGUAAUAGUAGUUCAAAAUGAGAGAUUCAAACUCAAUUUUCUUGAAUUUGAAGAAGUAUAGCAGAUGGGCAAAAUUCUCCAAUGGUGUAUGCCUAAAGUUCUUUGUGAGCACAUGUGUGUUUCUUCUCCUGAUGAUUUUUACAACUAGGUUCACUAUUUUUUUACCUUUUUCUGUCCUAAGCUGGUCAGAACAGAAGCAAAGUUACUGGACAACGCAUCAUUCCAAGUCUAAUCUUGAGUUCUUGGUAACAAAAGUUAGACAUAAUAAGUUUGUGGAGGUUCCUCAGAUUGUUUGGGGUUUGAACAAUCAAAAGAUUGCAUUGGCUAGAGCUGCCUUGACAGCACGGUUUCUCAACAGAACUCUGCUGAUGCCCAGUUUGAGUACUUCAUUAUUUUACAAGGAAGUUGAGUUACUGCAACCAAUUGCAUUUGAUAAAAUUUUCAAUAUUCAAAAGUUCAAUUCUCUAUGCAGUGGGUUUAUUCAAAUUGGUCGAGUUUCAGACACUUCAAAUCUAACCAAGUCAUUUGAUGUUAAGAAAGGAAGUGGGAGGACGUGGACAAUUGAGAAGGAUCUAAAUCAGUUAGAACAAUGCAAAGAACAUCCAAUUGAUGGCCAUGAGGUUAUUCGCAUUGAUGGAAAAAAUCCAUUCUUAUGGCAUGAUCACUGGCUAGUCACGGAUUAUGCCAAAGUUUUCGAAUGUUUGGUAUUUGUAGAUGAGAUAAUUCACACAUCAAACAAGGUUAUAUCUAAGAUCAGGGAAAAAGGUCUCGAAGCAAUAAAUAAUAAUGUCUGUACAACUUGUUAUGCUUCAAAGUCAUCAUCCUACAACAACAUGAAUCAACAAGUUCCCUACAUAGCUGUUCACAUGAGAGUAGAAAAGGAUUGGAUGAUCCACUGCAAAAAACGUGAAAAGAGAUCUAACAUUUCUCAAAUUUGUAGCAAGAGAGAAGAGAUUAUGGAAAGAGUUGGUCAAAUCCAUGGUAUUAAAUAUCCCGUAGUUGUUUACCUUGCAGUUGCAGACAGUCUUUUGGAAGAUGAUUUGAUAUUAAGUGGUUGGAAAGAAGGUCUUCUUCCUUUUGAGAAGAAGAAACUCGGAGUUUGGGAUGUCUACAAGAAGUACCCUUAUCUCGUACAAUCUGCUAUAGAUUUUGAGGUUUGUGUAAAAGCUGAAACUUUUGUGGGCAACAGUUUUUCGACUUUCUCAAGUCUUGUUGUUCUCGAGAGAAGUCAGAAGUUGCUAAAUAUGGGUUAUAGACACUCAUGUACUGAUGAUGACGAUGUACGAUUUGCUUCUUAUGCCUACAAUGUUGUAGGAGAAUCUGGAUCCAAACAACCUCAGAGAUGGAUGACAAAUAUGUCUGAUUCAAGUCUGCUUGCAGUAAGUUACGGUACUAAUCAGAUUUCUUGCUUAAGAUAAAAUUAAGACCGAUUAUUUUACAAAAGAUUUAUAUAUUACAUUUUUCUCAUGGGGCAAUAUACUAACAACAGUCAAAGUUGAAUUAAAGUUUAGAAAUUCAAUUUCAAUCACUGUUGUAAAACUAAACUCAAAAUUGUAAUUCCAGUUAGCUUUUUAUAUUGUUAGAUUUUUCAGAUUAUAGAUUAUAUUAUGUUGGAUUUUUCUCCAGUUUUGUUCGUGAAAAGUUUGUCUAUGUUAAUUGUUUUAUAUUUAUUUUACGUACACUAUUAAUAGAAUCCUUCGUUGGUAAUUGUUUUAUUAUGUUUACCCCUCUUGGAAUCUUGGAUAGAUAAUAGAUACACGAUUUUACACAAAUUAUUAAGGGUAGACACGAUUCGUAAAAAAACAUGACAUGAUUUUAACACGACGUAUUUAUAAUAAUGUUGGAUUAGUGUCUAAAAUUUUGACAUGAUUAAUAUUAAUGUCCACUAUUGGGAGGCUCAGGUGAUCAUUUCAAUCACUUUAGUCAAACCUUACAUAUAUAUACUUACUCUCGUUUAUUUUAUUUUAUUUUUAAACUCUUGAACUAUUGCUUUUACACGAACUUUGUAUCAUGGCUCCGUCGAUCUUUUAAACCCUAGUUUUCUCGAUCAAAAUCUCUGAACUCGUUUUUCUGUUCUAUUAUAAAUCUUUUACUUCGAAAUUGGUGAUAUAGUAUCCCGAACCCGGUCACAACCUACCAGCAACUAGAAGUCCGGAUAGCCUAAGAUGAGUUAAGGUACCUAUUCUAGGGUUGGGGAGGUCCCAAGUCGAAUCCUAGGAAGAUCGACUUUCCUGAGGAUCGACUUAAUAAAGUCGAUCCCCAGGAAAAUCGAUCUCCAGAAAGUCGAUCUUGAGCUUCGAUCUGAUCAGUUAGGCGGUUACUGCCUAAAUGACCAGAUUACCCCCAUAAGAACCCUUAUAAAUAGGAGGCAUCCCCACUCAUUAAAGGCAGGUCAUUUGGAGCGAAAGGAUUCCUAGCGAAGCAGAGCUCUGCGCACUUGAGUUCCGGUCCGGUUUCCCGCGGAGUUCCCCGCUUGACGCUUGUUUGCGCGUCUUGGAGUACUGGUCGGGUUUCACCCCCAUCAGUUGGCGCCGUCUGUGAUUCAAAGAUACUCAUGACAAAAGCUCAUUGACUUUUUCGAAAAAAGUGAUCGACUUUUUUCCAAGUCGCCAGCUAGGGAGUCUUGCGAGGAAAUUAGCCAGCAAAGGAUCGACCUUUCAAAAGAUCGACUUUUUUCUUCCAAGAGAAAAAGUCGAUUUCUCAAGGAGCUACGCUUUCAGGCUACGACUUCCAAGGGAUCCUCCAAGUACACAAGGGAUCGACUUUUUUGAAGAUCGAUUUUCUCCAAGCAAAAGUCGAACACUUUCAGGGAAUUUCCCAAGAAAAGUCGAACAUUCCAAGAUGGUGGUAACUCGGAGCACUUCCCAAGGAGGAGCAAAUUCUCAGGAGGCGCCAGAGCAACAGCCUGGCAACUCAAAAACUAAAAGGCCAGUGGGUCGACCGCCCAAGGGCAACAAAAAUAAAAGGACUCCCACGGGACCUGAGGAUGAACCCGAAGGUGAGCCCGAGCAAACACCCCAAGCAUCAGCAGGAGGGGAGAAUUUGAACAUCACAGUACAGGCAAUAGCUGAGGCCAUCCGACUCCUUGCUGAGAAGGAGAAACCUUCGGAAGAACCACCUCAGAAGGAAAAACCUGUGAGCAAUAAGGAAGUAAGGGCUUCAGCAUCAGAAACCACUCACGGAUUCGUAAAAAUGCCCAUAGAGGAGCUGGAGAAAAUGAAGGAAACUAUAGCAAAAAUGAACAAAAAACUGGAAAAUAUUGAGAAGUCCAAGGCAUCAAUAUUUCAUUCAAACCUCAAAAAAGGCUAAGGCGCAACAGGAGGUGUCAAGCCAUAAGGCAGCACACUCCAUCGCAAUGCCACCCCGCAGGCCAGAGGAGCAAACCAAACCUCCUCCUAAAAAACCCGUAUACGAGGAAAGCACAGGAGACACAGAAGGAGAAGGAGGCGAAGUCCCGAACUGGCCCGUGGGUAUGGAUGCCUUACAUAAAUCGCUGAUGAUAAAACCAACACCUCUAAAAUUCAAGCUACCCAGGCUACAAAUCUGUGAUGGGAAGAUGGAUCCAGUAGACCACAUAAAUAUGUUCGUAGGAGUAAUGCAAUGAGCCACAGCAAGGGAUGACAUCCUGUGCAGAGUAUUCCCGGGAACAUUAAAAGGGCCUACAUACAGAUGGUUCGUCGAACUGCAGCCAGGGAGCAUAACAAGUUUUGAGGACUUGAAAAAGAAGUUCAUUGCCCAGCAUUGUGAAAACACAAGGGUCAGAAAGGGCACAGAAUCACUAUUUGCAAUCAAACAGAAUGGAGAUACGCUCCGGAAUUACACAACUAAAUUCACAGAAGCCAUGCAAAAGAUCUCCGAUCUGAACACAACAAUCGCAAUAUGCGCAUACUCAAAGGGGUUAGACAUGAACACACUAUUAUCAAUAAAGCUAAAUGUUAGUAAUGUAAAAUGCAUGGAAGAUCUGCUAACAAAGGCCCAGAAAUAUAUAAAUUCUGAAGAGUAUGAGAAAGAAAAAGAAAGAGGUGUCAUAAGCAACAAAAAGGCAUAUGAAGCACCAAAGAAAAAAUAUCAAAAAUUUGAAAAAGGAGAACCAUCCUGGAGACCAAAACACGAUGGAAAGGUCUACCAGACAUCUAAGGAGUUUAGAAAAUCAAAAUACCCAAGGUAUGAAGACUUGGGAUUCACGGUUUUCAGCACUCCAAAGGAGGAAAUCUACACCAAAGAAAAGGGAAGAAUAAAGUUUCCUCAACCAGAAGAAUUAAACCCCGCAACAAAAGAAGCCCGAACAAGGGGGAACAGAUACUGCAAGUUCCACAAGGACUACGGGCACAACACAGAAAAUUGCAGGUAGAUAAGCACUUUCCUAGACACACAGGCAAAGGAAGGAAAGCUUAAGCAAUACAUAAACAAAGUAGAAAGGGGGCGAAAAGGUUAAAAGGACCCAAAUAACAAGGGUAAGCGACAACGCUCAAAAAGUCCCGACUCAGAUACUGACCACAAGAGGAGGGUAAUAGAUUAAAUCUUCGGCGGGGGAUCGGUAUGAGAAAGCAGAAAGUACUCGCAAAAGUUAAUACACGAGCGAGGGAAGGAGUAAGCUUCUCUGAGGAAGAUUCAGCCCACACAAAGAUCCACCCUUCAUAAAGUGGACACCAGGGAUAACUUAAGUCUAAAUAAAAUAGAUAAUAACAUACUGUACCUAGUUACAUUCAAAAAAUAAGCUAAAAAGCGGAACAACUAACCGUGUUCACCUUUGCGGCGUUCGCAUGGGAGGUAGAACAGAUUCCAGGGGGUCAAAACAACUCAAAUGAUACCCUCAAGGGGGGGCAGAAAGAGACACUAGUUGACUCAAUAUCUACACAUCCAUGCAAUCCGAUCACGAUACAGGCAGAAGACUGGAGAAAACCCUUAAUAGAAUACAUUGAAGGGCAGAAACUCCCAGAGAACAGGAAUAAAAGGCGUAAAUUAUAAACAAGCAUUUCAAGAUUCUGCCUAAUUAGUAACAUUCAGCAUGAGAAAGAGAAACCCUACGAUGGACCUCUAAUGAAAAUGUCUCAACAAAUAAAGGACAAUUCAUUACAGAAAAGAUACAUCAGGGGGUAUGCGAAAUACAUUGAAGGGGGAGGUCUCUAGCCCAAAGAAUAAUAGGGUAGAGGUACUUCUGGCCCACACUAAAAAAAGAGGCAAUCUUACCUGCAAGAAAGUGCAAGGCAUGCCAGAUUCACAAAAGCAUAUAAAGAAAUCCCGCAACUCAACUAACAGGGGUAGAAAGCCCCAUCCCCAAUGUGGUAACUAGACAUUGUGAGACUAUUUCCAGUAUCGACAGGUCAGGCUAAAUUUAUAUUUGUGGCUGUCGAUUACUUCACCAAAUGGGUCGAGACACUAGCUCUACCCAAAAUAACUCAAGGAGCAGUAACAAAGUUUGUCUUCAAGUGCAUAAUGUGCAGAUUCGGUGUUCCAAUGCACAUAGUGACAGAUAAUGGGACACAGUUUACCGGUGAGGAGUUUACGAGAUUGUGCGAGAACAUGAGCACUAGAAUCCAUUUUUCAUCGGUAUACAGACCACAGGGUAAUGGGCAAGUAAAAGUCACAAACAGAGUCAUUGUUCAGGGACUGAAGAAAAAGGUCGAACAGGCCAAAGGUUCGUGGCCAAAGGUUUAUCUCAGCUUCGCGAUCACUCAGCAACUGGGAGAUUUUCUGCCUUUCCGUUUCCCCUUCGUUCAGUCGUUGAGUGAGAACAUCAUUUUGAUCCAUUAUAGAACGAAGGGUCGCUUCAGUAGCCUCAGAUUGCUUGGUAAUCCCAUCAAUCAUAGAUUCUUUUAUUGAGACUCUAGCCCGCUGAGAAUCACAUUCUAGCUGCACAGCUCCCAACUCCUCAUUAACUUUGGAGAGUUCCUGCUCCUUGUCUCUCAAAAGUUUGUGCUGAGCAGCCCAGUCCUCGGCCAACUUUUUAUUUGUAGCAGAAAGAGUGGAGGCGUCCGAAACCCUCUGCGCAACCUCGCCUUCUAAAUCUUGGCAUCGGCGCUUCACUCUCUUCAACUCAUCUUCCAGGGAUUGGUAAUCACGAAGACGAGACAAAGAAGAAAGGCGGCCUUGAAACAAAUAAGCGAGCUACAAAAAGAGAAGAUAAGUAAAACAGGCUCAUAAAAAAUGAUAAAAACGAUAGCACUUACGUUGCUUAAGUUUUGUCCGACUUUCUCGAUAGUUCGAUCCAUCGGAUAGGCAGAAAUGACCGGAAGGUGGCCCGAGAAGCGUCCGUAUCAGCAACGGACGGAAACUCCGUCCCAUAAUUGUGAGGAUGGGAAGCUCGGUACCCCGGCAUCUGAGUCUCCCGGGUGGUAGCAUACGAAUGUCGACCCCGGGAGGACUCCCCAGCAUAGUAUUUCCGAUGAGGAAGAGUUCGUCGCCUAGGGGAGUGUCUCCUCGCUUUCUUCGGAGGAGAGGGGUCAGUCCUUGGUGGAGGGGUCUUCCUCUUAUCAGUUCGGCUUCUUCUCCCCUCCGAUCUUUCCGGCUGGACCUUCCUUCCAGCAUCUCUUUCCCGCUUCUCUUCCGGCGUGCGAAAGAAAGAGGCAAGUCUGGCAGCAGCAGAAGACUGCGCAGGAGGAGUCUCUACGGGUACCUCCUCUUCAUCAGCCUGGCCUUCACCAGAAGGAGGAGGGGUAGGCAUCCUCGUAUAAGCGUUCUCGUGGGCCCGACGCCUCAGGUGCAUAAACCUUCGUGCCCGUUUCAUUCUGUCUCACGCGUUCAGAGACACCGCCAGGAUUAUGCAUAUAAAAAUCUGCGAGAAAUAAAAAACAGAGUUAGUAAAAAUACACGUAAGUAGAAAAGAGAGAGAAAACAAACAAUGGAGGACCUUGUCGGUUGAAGGUAUCAUCUAUCGCGUGACCGACAGGCACAGCGAUGGGGUGAAGGAAGGCCAACCUUUGUACAAAAGCUCCCUCGUCCUCGGUCAAAACAGGACGGGGAGUAGGCCUACGGUCAUUACUGGAUGCAGAAAGAAAUCGACUGCUAGGACAUAGCCUGCAAUCCACAAAGAUGAACUCGCUCUUGUUCCGCCUGGUCGGAGGAUCUUUCAAGAGAGCGGAAUGAUUAACAAAAGAAGCACGGCUGGCACAUGCAAUAAAAGAGCUGCCCUUCUUCGGAUUUUGAAAGGAGAAGAAGUGGAAGAACAGCCGAGCAGUUGGGAUCAUACCAGCAUCUCUAAGGAUAUUCAUAAACCCCCUAACAUAGAAGAAGAAGGCAGCACCCAUUUGAGAGAUGCACAGCCCAGAAUACAAAAGGAUUUCACUAACUAGGGGAGAAAUCGGAAGAAUAGGAAAGUUAGUGAAAUCGGAAGAAUCGGAAGAAUCGGAAGAAUCGGAAGUGCCAACAUGAAAUAGGGGGUACAUCACCGGUAUUUUCAGAAGGAUAGGUCCAGUACACUCUCUCUCUAAGCUCUAACCCCCUUAAAAUUCUUUGUGCGGCAUCUAAAAAAAGGGUGUUAGAGCAUCUACCCACAUUGGAGGAGAGAGGGUAGCCUGGAAUAUCAGUCAGGGAGACAACACAGAAUGAACCAUACCCAGUCCCAUACUCGCCCCGGUCGAGGAUGGGGACAACAUGGAAACCGUUGCGAAGAAGAACGGACCACUGGUGCCAAGAGCCAUCCAUCUCCCGAUAGAAGGAUGGGGCGCUUUUCUCCUCAAGAGGAGAAGGAAAGGGGUACUUCUCCUCUGUCUCAGGAGAGUAACCUAAAAGAGAGUCUUCUAAAAUGUGAAGGUUUUGACUACAGACUUCGGGAGGAAGUUGAGUAGAACUGUCUGUAGCCAGGGAGGGCGCCUCAACAACAGAAACCUCCUCAAGAAUAGGAGCCAAAAUGAUGGAAGUUGGAGGAGGAGUCCGAGUAGUAGGAGGAGUGCCACCAACUUCUACAUCCCGUUCAGGAGAAGAGGAGCUACAAGAGGAGGAACUCGAACUCCCAGAACUGGAUGUAGAAGACCCUGAGCUAGAGGAACUUGGACUCGAUGAGGAAAAGUGGGAAGAACCUACAAACAAAAACAAAUAAAAGGUAAGUUACAAAAAAAAAAAGUAACUUACUAGGUACAAACUUUCGUGUACGACGAGCAGAAAGAACUUUUCGCUUACUUCCAACAGGGGAGAAGGAAGACGGCUCAGUUUUAGGCUCGACCACGGCAGUAGCAGUCUGAACCUGAGGGCUAACGAUAAUAGCCCGUUUCUCGUUAGGAGGUCGGUCUUGUUGGGUGUUUUUAUCGGAAGACAUGAUCACAACCUGCACGAAAGGCAUAACAGUUAAUAUGAUUGUGUUAGGGUUGCAAAAGUCGAUUCCCAAGAGAAAGUCGAUCCAGACUUCAGGGAAUCGCACCGAUACAAGGGAAGUCGACUUCAGAAGUCGAUCCCAGGGAAGUCGAUCUUCAGAAGACAAAAGUCUCAGGAAGUCGAUCCCAGCAGAUCCGACCCAAGGGAGUCGAUGACAAAAGUCGGACUCCAGGAAGUCGAACCAAGGGAAUCACUUCGGGAAAGCAAAGGCUAAACCCAUGGAAGUCGAUCCCAGUAAAAAUGGAUCCAACUUUGGACAGUCGAUGACAGGGCGUCAAACUUCACAAAGUCGGACCACAGUCCAAAGGGGAACAACUUCGAAGAAGGACCGACUUUCAGAAAAGUCGGACCUCAAGGAAGUCGAACCCAGUGCAACCUCAGAAGAGCCCGACGACAAAAGUCGGACCCCAGAAAGUUGCACCUCCAAAGCUCAAGUCGAAGCCUUACGCGCGCUGGAAGACGAGGCGGAGACGCUGGAAGUCGAAGCGGAGAAACUGAAAGUCGAUGCGCAGAAAGUCGAUCACUCGGAGCGAAGGAAGUAGGUGGGAAAUAAAUGAAUCCCCCUCCGCUAUUUAUAAGGGAAAGUCGAAGACGAACCGUCGCGGGCACUGUUCAUCCGGGUUUACCCGUUGGGCCGAAAAGCCCACGGGCCCGGCAGUCCCAAGACGACCCAGUCCGCGAAAAACCCCAAAAUCCGACCAAAUGACAUCGACAUUUCGGAACAAAGGCAUCGACAUUUAUCAAGGAAUUCAAAACCUUCAGAAAGAGAAGGACAGAAUCGACAUUCCACAGAAAAUUCAGAUCGACAUUCCCAAAAGGGGGAUAGACGUCGACAUUUAUCAAAGAAUUCGAAACCUUCAGAAAGAGAAGGACAGGAUCGACAUUCCACAGAAAAUCCAUAUCGACAUUCCCAGAAGGGGGAUAGACGUCGACAUUUACCAAAGAAUUCGAAACCUUCGGAAAGAGAAGGACAGCAUCGACAUUCCAUAAAAAGUUCAGAUCGACAUUCCCAGAAGGGGGAUAGACGUCGACAUUUACCAAGGAAUUCGAAACCUUCCAAAAGGGAAGGACAGGAUCGACAUUCCAGCACUAUUCUGAUCGACAUCCUCAAGAAAAGAUGAGAUCGACUUUUGUACAACAUCGACAUUUUCAGGGAGAAAUGAGAUCGACUUUUUUCUACAAACUUCGACAUCUUCAGAAAAGGAUAGAAUCAGUAGUCAUACGACAUCGACAUCUUCAGAAAAAGAUGAGAUCGACUUUUUUACAAACGUCGACAUCUCCAGGGAGAGAUGAGAUCGACUUUUCUGUAUAAGUCAGGAAAAAGGAAAGGUGAAGUAUCUUUAUUCAAUAUUACGAAAAAUAAUGAAUGAAAAAAUAUGUUGCAGAUUCCUAAUUAAAGUUGAUGCGGCGACGCAAGCGGCGAGGAACCUGGUCCAGUGGGGAAGCACCGCGGCGGGGACACCUCCGACAUCGACCACGAAGUGGGAUAGCAGAAGAAGAGGCAGGCGGAAGAUCGCCACCAAACCAUUCUUCGAAAAUGGAUUCUCUGGCCGCAACAGCAACACUCUGCCGCUCAACGAUAAUUUGGCGCAGAGAAGGAAGAUCCAAGGCCAAGGACCGAGGAUCCAAAAUGUUCAAAAUUCGACCCAGCUCCUCAAUCUCUCCAUGAAUAAAAUCAGCAAAGAGACUCACAAGAAGAGCCAUGGAUGAAGGAGAAGAAGGACCUAACGGCUCUAUUUAUAGACCCAAGAACCACACAAAAGGCUAAAAAACGAUAAAACCGACUUUUUGACACAAGGACUCGACUUUUGGGUCAAAGUAUCNNNNNNNNNNNNNNNNNNNNNNNNNNNNNNNNNNNNNNNNNNNNNNNNNNNNNNNNNNNNNNNNNNNNNNNNNNNNNNNNNNNNNNNNNNNNNNNNNNNNNNNNNNNNNNNNNNNNNNNNNNNNNNNNNNNNNNNNNNNNNNNNNNNNNNNNNNNNNNNNNNNNNNNNNNNNNNNNNNNNNNNNNNNNNNNNNNNNNNNNNNNNNNNNNNNNNNNNNNNNNNNNNNNNNNNNNNNNNNNNNNNNNNNNNNNNNNNNNNNNNNNNNNNNNNNNNNNNNNNNNNNNNNNNNNNNNNNNNNNNNNNNNNNNNNNNNNNNNNNNNNNNNNNNNNNNNNNNNNNNNNNNNNNNNNNNNNNNNNNNNNNNNNNNNNNNNNNNNNNNNNNNNNNNNNNNNNNNNNNNNNNNNNNNNNNNNNNNNNNNNNNNNNNNNNNNNNNNNNNNNNNNNNNNNNNNNNNNNNNNNNNNNNNNNNNNNNNNNNNNNNNNNNNNNNNNNNNNNNNNNNNNNNNNNNNNNNNNNNNNNNNNNNNNNNNNNNNNNNNNNNNNNNNNNNNNNNNNNNNNNNNNNNNNNNNNNNNNNNNNNNNNACGUAGGUUAGACGAGGGACGUACUCAAGAGUGAAUCUCACCUACGGAAGAACGUAGGUUAGACGAGGGAUGAACUCAAAAGGUGAACCCCACCUACGGAAGAACGUAGGUGGACGGGGGACACAUCGGUUAAACACACGACCCUUCUACAAAAAACGUAGACAGAGGGGUAAGUGUUCUAGAGUGAACCUUACCUAUGGAAGAACGUAGGUUAGACGAGGGAUGUACUCAAGAGUGAACCUCACCUACGGAAGAACGUAGGUUAGACGAGGGAUGUACUCAACAGAGAACCUCACCUACGGAAGAACGUAGGUUAGACGAGGGAUGUACUCAAGAGUGAACCUCACCUACGGAAAAACAUAGGUAGACGGGGACAUCGGCUAAACACACGCCCCUUCUACACCUACGGAAGAACGUAGGUUAGACGAGGGACGUAUUCAAAAGUGAACCUCACCUACGGAAGAACGUAGGUUAGACGAGGGAUGAACUCAAAAGGUGAACCCCACCUACGGAGGAACGUAGGUAGACGGGGGACACAUCGGCUAAACACACACCCCGUUCUACAAAAACAUAGACAGAGGGGUAAGUGUUCAAGAGUGAACCUCACCUACGGAAGAACGUAGGUAGACGGGGGACACAUCGGUUAAACACACGACCCUUCUACAAAAAACGUAGACAGAGGGGUAAGUGUUCUAAAGUGAACCUUACCUACGGAAGAACGUAGGUUAGACGAGGGAUGUACUCAAGAGUGAACCUCACCUACGGAAGAACGUAGGUUAGACUAGGGAUGUAAUCAAGAAUGAACCUCACCUACGGAAGAACGUAGGUUAGACGAGGGAUGUACUCAAGAGUGAACCCCACCUACGGAAAAACAUAGGUAGACGGGGGACAUCGGCUAAACACACGCCCCUUUUACAAAAAACGUAGACAGAGGGGUAAGUGUUCAAGAGUAAACCUCACCUACGGAAGAACGUAGGUUAGACGAGAGACGUAUUCAAAAGUGAACUUCACCUACGGAAGAACGUAGGUUAGACGAUGGAUGAACUUAAAAGGUGAACCCCACCUACGGAGGAACGUAGGUAGACGGGGGACACAUCGGCUAAACACACACCCCGUUCUACAAAAACGUAGACAGAGGGGUAAGUGUUCAAGAGUGAACCUCACUUACGGAAGAAUGUAGGUUAGACAAGGGAUGUACUCAAGAGUGAACCUCACCUACGGAAGAACGUAGGUUAGACGAGGGAUAUAAUCAAGAAUGAACCUCACCUACGGAAGAACGUAGGUUAGACGAGGGAUAUACUCAAAAGUGAGCUCCACCUACGGAUGAACGUAGGUAGACGGAGGACACAUCGGAUAAACACACGCCCCUUCUACAGAAAACGUAGACAGAGGGGUAAGUGUUCAAGAGUAAACCUUACCUACGAAAGAACGUAGGUUAGACGAGGGAUAAACUCAAAAAUAAUCCUCACCUACGGAUGAAGGUAGGUAGACGAGGGAUCAUGCUCAACCUCAGUCGCGGAAGCAGCAAGCAAAGGGAGGGGCAAAUAUUUAAAAAAUAAUCCUCACCUACGGAUGAACGUAGGUAGACGAGGAAUCACGCUCAACCUCAGUCGCGAAAGCAUCGAGCAAAGGGAGGGGGCAAGUAUUCAAAAAAUAAUCCUCACCUAUGGAAGAACGUAGGUAGUCGAGGGAUCACGUCUAACCUCAGUCGCUGAAACAACGAGCAAAGGGAGGGGGCAAGUAUUCAAAAAAUAAUCCUCACCUAUGGAAGAACAUAGGUAGUCGAGGGAUCACGUCCAACCUCAGUCGCAGAAACAACGAGCAAAGGGAGGGGGCAAAUAUUCAAAAAAUAAUCAUCACCUACGGAUGAACGUAGGUAGACGAGGGAUCAUGCUCAACCUCAGUCGCGGAAGCAGCGAGGAAAGGGAGGGGGCAAAUAUUCAAAAAUAAUCCUCACCUACGGAUGAACGUAGGUAGACGAGGGAUCAUGCACAACCUCAGUCGCGGAAACAGCGAGCAAAGGGAGGGAGCAAGUAUUCAAAAAAUAAUCCUCACCUAUGGAAGAACAUAGGUAGUCGAGGAAUCACGCUCAAACUCAGUCGCGGAAGCAGCGAGCAAAGGGAGGGGGUAAGUAUUCAAAAAAUAAUCCUCACCUAUUGAAGAACAUAGGUAGUCGAGGAAGCACGCUCAACCUCAACCGCGGAAAUAGCAGAUUGAGGAGGCAAGAGACCUCAAAAGAGAGAACUUCACUUAUAAAAAUAGGUAGAAGAGACAACUCUCAAACCCGGCCACAGCAAGGGGACUCGAACAUUGCUCGGAGAUGGCUCAGGCAAGGCAUUAAGGUGGGCAAGCAGGGUUCCGCUCGGAAAUCGGGCUAGGCAGGUGCGCAAGGAUUAUGCUUCGGCUAGGACAAACCGAACAAUAGUUGGCAAAAGCGCGUGACAACCUCCGUGAAAGCAUAGAUACAACCUCACAGGCGUAGAAGGAGGGGGAGAACUGGUGAGAAAGGAUCUCGCAUCCUAGGACAUCACCAAAAACCCACACCCCAGCACGCAAAGAGAGGGGAAUACUGAUAGUACAAGGUCCAACACACAGACCAUAGUACUAAAAGACGUAUCCCAAGGUAUCUAAUACGCAGAGGAGGGGGGAGUACUGGUGAUACAAUAUCCCGAACCCGGUCAUAACCUACCAGCAAGUAAAAGUCCGGAGAGCCUAAGAUGAGUUAAGGUACCUAUUCUAGGAUUGGGGAGGUCCCAAGUCGAAUCCUAGGAAGAUCGACUUUUCUGAAGAUCGACUUCCCUGGGAUCGACUUCCCUGGGAUCGACUUCUGAAUAAAGUCGAUCCCCAGGAAAGUCGAUCUUGAGCCUCGAUUUGAUUAGUUAGGCAGUUAGGCGGUUACUGCCCAAAUGACCAGAUUACCCCCAUAAGAACCCCUAUAAAUAGGAGGCAUCCCCCACUCAUUAAAGGCAGGUCAUUUGGAGUAGAAGAAGUCCUAGCGAAGCAGAGCUCUGCGCACUUGAGUUCCGGUCCGGUUUCCCGCAGAGUUCCCCGCUUGGCGCUUGCUUGCGCAUUUUGGAGUAUUGGUCGGGUUUCACCCCCAUCAGAAAUCAAUAAAACGAUCAUUGUUAUUCUCCGAUUUACGUUCCAUGUUCACUAUUGUUCUGCUCUCUCCCGUCCUCAUCAUCCACGCUCGAUCUUCUCUUCCUCACUUGCGAUGGGAAUAUUUUCAAUUAAUAAUAUUAUCGAUUCAGUGUGUGCGAUUAAAAACACGGAAGACCAGAUAAAAAAAUUAAUUGUGUUACUUACACACAUUGUAAGACCUACAAAUUACAAAUCAAACGGCUAUAUAUAUCUAUAAAUAUAUUUGUUAUUCUUCAAUAAGAAAUAUGAAAAAAAAAUUUAAUGAAAUCGCCGUCUGUGGGACUCGAACCCACGACCACAUGGUUAAAAGCCAUGCGCUCUACCAACUGAGCUAAGACGGCAAUUUAUUAUAUUAUUCUAUAUAUAUUAUUUAUUUUAAAAAAAAUAUAGAAAAAAAAACCUUUGCAUUCCCUAUUUCCCCCCAUUUUUAGAUUUUCUCCUCUGUUCGUCGAUCGCCGUCCAGCCAUCUCCGUCGCACAUUCUGUUUUUUCCCCUUAUUUCCACCGACAUAUCUUGCUCCUUCAUAGUUCUCUGGUAAAAGUCGACCUCUCUUCCUUGUUCCGAUAUUUUUUUCGUCUGUAUACUAGAAAAUACUUAUGUUAUAUUAUGUAUGCUCGAUAAUGGGUGUCGAAAUUUUAGAAAAUAGAGUCAUUUUCUGGAGAAGUGCAAAUUGCUUAACCUGUCAGAAUUAACAAAAAAUAUUAAAUAGAAUCUAUAUGAAGAUUAUUUAAGGACAAACACUUUUAGGGUUGAUUCAGGUUGUUUUAGGGUUCCUUCCGCAGCCCGAUGUAUUGUACAAUAGGUACUAUUCCUUUUUAUGCAGUUUUCAUUUGGCAGAGGGGGACAUCGGAGCAUGGUUUUAUUCAUUAAUUUAAUAUUUUUUAUUCAAUGUUUUUCCUUCUUCUCUCAAUUGAAUAAUUUAUUUGUUGAUAUUGAAAAAUACAGUAGUAAUCUAAUCCUAUAUUCUAGUUGAUAUUGAACACAUCUACUUACUUCCUCGAUCUUUUAAAUAUUUUCUGUUUGAGGUGAAAUUGAAAGGGUGAUGUUUUUCAGUCAUUUCACAACAUUGGCUAUUUAGAUUGAACUCGAUGACCUCUAAUCGCUUCUGUUGUUGGAUUUGCUUAGGUUUUCUGUGAGGAUCAACCAUGUCUGCUAAAUACAUCAUAGGUUCUUUAGCUGGUUCUUUUGUCAUCGCCUAUGGUUGCGAUUAUUUUGUGUCUGACGUGAAAAUAUUUGGAGGUAAACAACACAAUCCUAAACUUGUUUACAAUCUUAGUUGAACACAUGAUCCCACUCACUCACUCACGAUACAAGUGUGCAAUUAUAAUUAUGCAAUGCAAUCAGGUAGCACCCCAGGCACCGUCUCUAACAAAGAGUGGGGGGAAGCAACUGAGAAGAUGUUCCAGGCUUGGCCCAGGACUGCAGGCUCCCCUGUUGUUAUGAACCCAAUCAGUCGGCAGAACUUCAUCGUCAAGACAGGUUCUGAGUGAUUACUUGAACUUGUUCAAAUGAGUUGACUUUUUUUUUAUAUGCUAUCUUUUGGCGAAAUCCUAUUAUGUGGUACCCGAUUAACUUUCGUUUCAUCCACACAAUAAUGUAAAUAAGGCAUCUCUAUAUUGUAUUUACAGUGGAGAAACCUUUAGAUUUCCAGCACAAGGUGUUUUACUUUAUGCAUAACCCUAUUAAAUGAAUCAU
rnacentral:lncRNA from 1 species